UAGCUAGUUGGUGGGGUAAAGGCUCACCCAAGGCGACGAUCGGUAGCUGGUCUGAGAGGAUGAACAGCCACACUGGGANUGAGACACGGCCCAGACUCCUACGGGAGGCAGCAGUGGGGAAUAUUGGACAAUGGGGGCAACCCUGAUCCAGCAAUGCCGCGUGUGUGAAGAAGGCCUGAGGGUUGUAAAGCACUUUCAGUGGGGAGGAGGUCGUAUAGGUUAGGAGCUAGUAUGAUGGACGUUACCCACAGAAGAAGCACCGGCUAACUCCGUGCCAGCAGCCGCGGUAAUACGGAGGGUGCGAGCGUUAAUCGGAAUUACUGGGCGUAAAGGGUGCGUAGGUGGUUAAUUAAGUUAGAUGUAAAAACCCUGGGCUUAACCUGGGACUGAGAUUUAAUACUGAUUAACUGGAGUAUUGGAGAGGGUAGUGGAAUUUCCGGUGUAGCGGUGAAAUGCGUAGAGAUCGGAAGGAACACCAGUGGCGAAGGCGGCUACCUGGCCAGAUACUGACACUGAAGCACGAAAGCGUGGGGAGCAAACAGGAUUAGAUACCCUGGUAGUCCACGCUGUAAGCGAUGUCAACUAGCCGUUGGUCAUAUNAAGAUGAUAAGUGGCGC
rnacentral:rRNA from 1 species